GCCUUCGUGGUGUAACUUAUAGCACACUCGACUAGUAUUCGGGAGAUCCGGAGUUCGAAUCCCGGCGAGGGUA
rnacentral:tRNA from 1 species